AACCGAGUCUUAAUUGGGCGUUAAGUUGCAGGGUAUAGACCCGAAACCCGGUGAUCUAGCCAUGGGCAGGUUGAAGGUUGGGUAACACUAACUGGAGGACCGAACCGACUAAUGUUGAAAAAUUAGCGGAUGACCUGUGGCUGGGGGUGAAAGGCCAAUCAAACCGGGAGAUAGCUGGUUCUCCCCGAAAGCUAUUUAGGUAGCGCCUCGUGAAUUCAUCUCCGGGGGUAGAGCACUGUUUCGGCUAGGGGGCCAUCCCGGCUUACCAACCCGAUGCAAACUGCGAAUACCGGAGAAUGUUAUCACGGGAGACACACGGCGGGUGCUAACGUCCGUCGUGAAGAGGGAAACAACCCAGACCGCCAGCUAAGGUCCCAAAGUCAUGGUUAAGUGGGAAACGAUGUGGGAAGGCCCAGACAGCCAGGAUGUUGGCUUAGAAGCAGCCAUCAUUUAAAGAAAGCGUAAUAGCUCACUGGUCGAGUCGGCCUGCGCGGAAGAUGUAACGGGGCUAAACCAUGCACCGAAGCUGCGGCAGCGACACUGUGUGUUGUUGGGUA
rnacentral:rRNA from 2 species